AUAAGGCGGCACCCCAACCGAGCUACGCCCCCUCCCCGUGGCUCCGCUCUCUUAGGUCAGUUGUACAGCAGGCUCGCGCCGGUCUCCAUGGCAACGCGAAGGGGUUUUAACCCUUGCCGGAGAUUUGACGUACGAGCCUUGGUAAAGCGGCUCAGGCCUCGGGUGGCUAAUAUGUAGGAGACAGACGGGCAGCUUCCACCCCAGUGCGUGCCCUUGCAACAAGAAAGAGGACGAAGAGGAAGCCAGACGUUGUCCGCCUCUGUGCUCGGACAAAACGGACACACCUUCUUCAAAGAGAGCAACACUAGCACCUUAGCAUUUUCAACCUGUUUCCAAUUAAGCUGCGGCUUGGCACAAAUUCAGCGUGACCACUUUUGAAUGGCAUCGCAUUGAUUCAGCUCCUAGCCGCAUGCAGGGGGUGACUGUAACGUCCUUACUGGGGACUAUGGAGGAAACGUCGACUGUUGGCAUAGCUGUUUGCAGUGCUGGAUGCUUUUAAGAAGAGGCCCCCGGAGUGAAGGGAACAAGUUUGAUCUAACUCCUCCUCCCUCUUGUGGGAUUCCAACUUGGCUGCUUGGCAAAAUUCUCUCAAAAGCAGAGCUAAUGAGGAACCCAGUAAUAAACUGGGAAGGAGAGGGUUAAAAGCCGCCCAAGUCAGUGCAUUCCUCUGACAAAAUACUGUAAUUGAGUUACCCUGCAGCUUUUAUGCAAACAGCUGACUGGAAGAGAUGCUAGCACACAAUGCUCAUAUGGGCAAAGAGGGUCAAUAGCCCCCUGAUUGAUAUCACUUCCCUUAAUUCAAAGCGACAUUUCCUAAAAACUCCACGUUAGUGUGCAGGCUUUGCAAGAAUGCAGCUGUGCAUGAGAAAGAGGCUGGAAAUGGCCAACAGACCAUAUAGUACAUAAAGGCCCAUCAAUGUUAUUAACUUUAUGGUGCGGCUAUUUGCCCUGAGAGUCAGGAUAGCUCUUGUCAGCACCUUCUCCAGACCCUUCAUCAUGACCAGGAUGCAUUAGCUCUCUGACUCUUCUGGGCUACUAGAAUAUCUUUAUCAGUAUGUAAAACAUGAGACAUCAGACAGACUAGCUUCUCUUCUGUUCGAGAGGUCCAAAACCCCAGCGUCUUGUAUCCUUUAUAGCUGUAUUACAUGCAUUAUACUUCCCAACCAACUUCAUUGGUUGCCAGCUCUCAUGCACACAGAGCCCACCCCAUUACUAAAGACAAAAUCAAACUUAUUUGAUUUCAUCCGUGCAAGUCUCAGACUACCUGGACUGAGUCACUGGGCAUGCCACAUUAGACGACUGUUUCGUGGAGAGUGUCUCGCCAAUUACCUCUGACUUGCUAAGAAUAUGUAAAUGAAAACUGUGACUGAAAAUCUCUGGAAACGUCUCCAGAUGUGAUGUGGCCUUACACAUAUCCUUAAACAUCCCAUGGAUGCAGGGCCGUCUUAAUGCAUGGGCAUGCUGGGCAGUUGCCACGAGCAUAGGGGCCACAUAUGUAUGUUGUGACUUGCUGAGUGGUUGUGUAGAUAGGAGCCCUAGUGCACUGCUUUCCCCGGGGGCCAAUAAUGCUGUUAAGACGGCCCUGCAUGGGUAUGUCAUGGACAUUUCCUUCAUUGGGCAGAGACAUUUUUUUCCCGAGAAAAAUUAUCACGGAGAAUCAAAUACAGUUGUGUUUGCACACUGCCAUAUUGUCCGCAAUUAUUUGCUUAAUUUACCAACCACAGCUCUAUGAGCAAAACAGCUAUCAAACAACUGGAAAACUACUUGAAAAUGAUGUACUGUUAUGUGUGGUAUGAAAAACCCACGUUUCAAAUAGCCAAGUGUACAAAAGAAGGCAGGCUACACUUAUGAGCUUCAGCUUUAUGACAGUAGAAUUAUCAGUUUCUGACUGCUCACACGCAUGUAAGCCAGAAUCAGGUACUGUACUAGGCUUUUUCUGAAUGAUUGGUUAAUUGUGUGAUUUGUUUUUUGCAAAUUAUGUUAAAAUUGUAUCAUUGUAUAUACUGUAUUUAUUGUUGCCUUUUUAUUGUUUUUAAUGCUCCAUGUUAACCCUCAACUCAUUAUGCUGUGAGUGAGAUUCCCUACUGACAGUAGACAGCUUGAAUACCACAGCAUGCACAGUUUUACCCAUAAUGCACAGUAGUUCAUCUAGUGUCAGAUCACAUUCAUACCUCAUUCAAGCCGGUCUAGAGUUUGCCUAGUACAGCACUAAGACCUCCCUUUCCAAAGGAUGUUAGUACAGUUGUUUUGGUCCGCACCAAAAUGUGAUUGGUAUGUUCACAUCUAGCAAAAUUAACCAGGCUUUCAGGAAAAUCACACCAGAGUUUGAAAAAACUGGUCCAAAUGAAAUAGGUGUGAAAAGAACUUUAAAGCCACGGUAGGUACACAGAAGACCCCAUGGGUAUUAUAGUCAUGUCCAACUGUCCCAGUUCUUAAAAACAGAAAACAUAGCAAUGUUAAAUUAUACUCCAUCUUUAGAUUUUAUGAAAAAAUGCCAGUUGUGCUUCACAUUCUUAAAUAAAUCAUCUGCAGAUUACUGACGUAGGUAGAAAUUCCUUUAGACUGCCAUACAAUUAGUUACAAGUUCUCUCGCAUUAAAAAUUAAUCUGGUCCACUAAUUUUGGUGAUUGCUUUGUUUAAUUAACCCAGAUUUAACUGAGAUUUUACUUUUAACUCUUAAUGGUCACUUUUAGGUGGCACCAUGUCCUGUUUGAAUGUCAGCCUGGGCAGGGACUGUGCAUGUUCUCCCUGUGUCUGUGUGGAUUUCCCAACAGAUAUUCUGGUUUGCCUCCCACAUUCUAAAGAUACUGUAUGUACUGUACUUGUAUGUAUGAUAGAUUUAUUGGCAACUCUCAACUGGCCCUGUGUGAGUGAGGCUAUUCCAUUUAAAAACACAGACACCUUUCAUCCACACUGCCCCAGCAUUUUGAAUCCCCAAAUAAGAAGUCUUUUGAAAAUGCUCUCCAGAGUCGUAUACUUCUGAAAAUGCAGGCUUGACGUUACAAUUUGACAGGUGAAAACAUAGACUUUUGAAAACAGAGAAUUUAAUCACACCCUGAUUUGUUUGUGCUUAUUGUGUGGCCCUUCCUUGACUGGAUCCUCCUUGUUACCAUGUCUCAUUCCCUGAUUGGUACACUUUAUGGAAGAAAGCCAUAUUCCAACAUAAUGGGCAUGGAUGAGUUGCUUCUUCAUGGCACUUGUUGUUCUGCUUACCCGUGUGUACUGUAUAUCUAAAUUGCAUUUUGUACAGUUUGACAGCUGCAUUCAUGCACAGAAGGCAAAUAAUUUACCAGUCACUACAGUUUUGAGAUACUGCAUAUCCCAUGUUCAGCAGCAUUACCAAGGAUUCUUCAAGGACACUACCAAGGAUGCACAGUGUAGGUGAACAUUUAAUUUCAUAUGCAUUUCGGAUCAUUAUAGCGUGGACAGAGAUACUUUUGUAAAUUAUGUGAAAACACUAUUGUGGACAGAGAUAAUUUACAUUUAAGACCCCAGUUUUUGGAAAAAAACAGAAAUGUGAAUGUAACAUGAGUGUGGGUGUAGGUGUUUGCACAAGUUUGUCCCACUAUGGACUGCAAUUCUAUCCUGGGCUUGAACACAAUGUCUGACUUGUAUCUCAGAAUGGAUGAAUAGUAACUUUCUCA